AUGAAAGGAGGCAAGGCGAUGGGCCCUGAUUGUAUCCCCAUUGAGGUGUGGAAAGGUCUCGGGGACAUAGCGAUAGUAUGGCUAACCAAGCUUUUGAACCUCAUUUUUCGGGCAAACAAGAUGCCAGAAGAAUGGAGACGGAGUAUAUUAGUACCAAUCUUCAAGAACAAGGGGGAUGUUCAGAGUUGUACUAAUUACCGUGGAAUUAAGCUGAUGAGCCAUACAAUGAAGCUAUGGGAGAGAGUCAUUGAGCACCGCUUAAGUAGAAUGACAAGCGUGACCAAAAAUCAGUUUGGUUUCAUGCCUGGGAGGUCGACCAUGGAAGCCAUUUUCUUGGUACGACAACUUAUGGAGAGAUAUAGGGAGCAUAAGAAGGACUUGCAUAUGGUGUUCAUUGACUUGGAGAAGGCCUAUGAUAAGAUACCGCGGAAUGUCAUGUGGUGGGCCUUGGAGAAACACAAAGUCCCAGCAAAGUACAUUACCCUCAUCAAGGACAUGUACAAUAAUGUUGUGACAAGUGUUCGAACAAGUGAUGUCGACACCGAUGACUUCCCGAUUAAGAUAGGACUGCAUCAGGGGUCAGCUUUGAGCCCUUAUCUUUUUGCAUUGGUGAUGGAUGAGGUCACAAGGGGUAUACAAGGAGAUAUCCCAUAG
rnacentral:rRNA from 1 species